AUGAAUAAAGGCAUUGGUGCAGGUGUGGAGCAUGGCUGGACUGGCAUAAGCACAUAUGAGGGGUUCCUGGAGAUGUGUUGUGCAGAGCCAGCAGGGUAUGCAAAAAUGUGCCCCACUGCUACCGCUGUUCUUGAUCUUGGCUGUGAUCUGAUUUCUUCACGCGACAAGGCAGAAUAUAAAGAUGAGGAACCUCAUCCUGUUGACACACAGAGCCAGAUAAAGCCCUCCAGAGAAACGUACAAGGCACCAGCCAAAAUUUCUGAGUCACUCUGAUGCACUCUUUUUAGAUGACCUAGAGUAAACUUUGCUUAUUACAAUGCUAAGUCUCUUCCCAGAGGCAUUCUCAUCUGCCACUUUUUAAAACUGGUAAUGUAUGACCUUGAAUGCAGUUUGCUCAGAAGUAUAUGAUGUAUGUAUGUAUGAUGACAAAUCUUUCCUACAUAAAUAUGUACAUUGUUUCCUCAAUGAAAUCUUAGUUUCUUUGGCUAGGAGUACUGCUUUGAGUUUUAUCUUUAAUGUUCCUCCUGUAGCUAAUAAACCUUUUAUUGCUCUUUUAUCUCCUGGUUGUGCUUUUUGACUUUGCACUCACUAUUAUUAAACUUUCACUUUCAUUUCCACCUGUACUUCUGUCACUACUCCAUGGCCUUUAUCACUUUUGCCAUCCCCACCGGCGUGCCCACCGUCACCUUUACCACCAUCACACCUGCCUUCACCUUUGCCAUUGCCACAACCAUACUGCCAACAUCACUGAAAAAAAUGGACUGCAGUGCAACUUUUGUAUAUUAAGAAGUUAUUUUUUCUAAAAGAGAGAAUGCACACUUGCAAUAAAAGACCUGUUUUACAUCACUUAACAGAACAUUUCACAUCUCCCCUGGAGGCAUUUGCAUGUAGGUUAUUUCACUGACUUUGAACAUGCUAAAAUAAUUCCUUAUUUCCACAAAAAUAAAUGCUGUCCAAAGUGGUUCUUAUCAGAACAAAAGAAAAAUUUGACUAAGACGAAUGUUGAGUUUCUAGAGUGUAGAAGUUAGAAUUCUUUACUCUGAUGUAUGUAUUUGGCUCCUUUGUUGAAGACCAAAUAGCUGAAUGUGUGUAGGGAUAGAUAUUCUGUAUCCUCUAUUCUGUUCUAUCGAUCCACAUAUUGUUUUUCUGCCAGUACCAUGCCAUUUUGUCACUGCUGCUUUGUAGUAUGACUUGAAGUCAGGUAUUAUGAUGCCCCCUGCUUUGCUCUUGUUGCCUAGGAUUGCUGGGCUAUUCUGGGUCUCUUCCAGCCUGUUAAUGGUGUAGGGGAAAUUGGCUUUUUGCAGAAGAUUGAAGAUCCCUCUCUCUUACCAUUCACUAAACUAAAAAUGGACCAAAAAUACAAACAUUGAAACAGGAACAACGAACCUACUGGAAGAUAAAAUGGAUAAAAUACUUGAGGUCAUACGUACAGGCAUGGACUUUCAGAACUAUAGUUGCAGAAGAAAUUACAACAAGAAUCAAAACAAAUGGGAUUUAAAAGCUUCUGCACAGCAAAGGAAACAAUUAGUAAAGAGACAACCUACAGAAUGGGAAACAGUUUUGGCUAACUAUUCCUCAGAUGGAGGAGUAUCUAGAAGGUAUAUCUGGAAUAUAUAAAUCUAGAAUAUCUGGAAUAGAUAAAGAACUCCAGAAAUUAGCACCCCCAAAAUAAAAGACCCAAUCAAGGAAAAGGCAAGUCAGAGGGAACAGAUACUUCUCAGAUGAAGUACAAAUGGCCAAC
ensembl:lincRNA